rnacentral:rRNA from 1 species
UACAGAGGGGGCAAGCGUUGUUCGGAAUUACUGGGCGUAAAGGGCGCGUAGGCGGCCUGUUAAGUCGAACGUGAAAUCCCCGGGCUCAACCCGGGAACUGCGUCCGAUACUGGCAGGCUUGAAUCCGGGAGAGGGAUGCGGAAUUCCAGGUGUAGCGGUGAAAUGCGUAGAUAUCUGGAGGAACACCGGUGGCGAAAGGCGGCGAUCCUGG